rnacentral:SRP_RNA from 4 species
GUGGGCUAGCCGGGAGGCUAGAGGUCUCCUUUACGCCAACCCUCUUUACGGCGGGUGAAGUCCGCGAGGAGAAGCAAGCGAAUCCGCGAGGCCCUCUCCAAGGCGACGACGCUCUGCCUUGCGUUAUGCCUCGUUGUUCGAAUCGAGCCAGGCCGGAAGGAGCAACUCUAAGGACUUCAAGGUAUGCUCGCAAGAACCAGGGCCGAGCCAAGGAUUGGAUAAACCGAGCGGCUGAACAUGCCUCGAUUCGUGGAGCGCCC